rnacentral:rRNA from 1 species
AACGAACGCUGGCGGCAUGCCUAACACAUGCAAGUCGAACGAAGCCUUCGGGCUUAGUGGCGCACGGGUGCGUAACGCGUGGGAAUCUGCCCUUGGGUUCGGAAUAACAGUUAGAAAUGACUGCUAAUACCGAAUGAUGUCUUCGGACCAAAGAUUUAUCGCCCAAGGAUGAGCCCGCGUCGGAUUAGCUAGUUGGUGAGGUAAAGGCUCACCAAGGCGACGAUCCGUAGCUGGUCUGAGAGGAUGAUCAGCCACACUGGGACUGAGACACGGCCCAGACUCCUACGGGAGGCAGCAGUGGGGAAUAUUGGACAAUGGGGGCAACCCUGAUCCAGCAAUGCCGCGUGAGUGAUGAAGGCCUUAGGGUUGUAAAGCUCUUUUACCAGGGACGAUGAUGACGGUACCUGGAAAGGAAGCACCGGCUAACUCUGUGCCAGCAGCCGCGGUAAU